AACAAAUCAGAAUGAAAACGGCAUUAAGAGGCUGUGUUGCAGCACGGGGAAACCAAGAGCAACCCGCAGGAUUCUAAAAAUGUAGCCAAGGCCACCCUCAUCUUUAACAAAGAGGUGUGGUCUUCAGAGAAUAUGAUUCCUGACAUAUGACGCUCCUUUCUGAUCUGGACAGCCUCUGCUGGGUGCAUUUGGAGGAGGAGGAGGAGGAAGUAAAACCUGGUCCUGAACCUGCAUUGAUUGGAGCUACUACUAUGCCAGAUUUGGAGCUUCUAUGAAGCCAAAUAUCCCCGGUUUGGGGCAUCAUAGUUCAAGAGCGAACCCUGGAGCACUAUGGUGCAUAAGUUAUUGGGACUCUUUGAAGGAGAAGUGUUAAAACUCCUAAGACAUCCAGAGGAUGUUGCCAGUCACUCAGACUUCUGUAAUACUAUGUGACAAGGACCUGAUAAGAAUAUAAGAACGGCCAUGCUGUGUCAGACCAAAG